GAGUUUGAUCCUGGCUCAGAUUGAACGCUGGCGGCAUGCCUUACACAUGCAAGUCGAACGGCAGCACGGGAGCUUGCUCCUGGUGGCGAGUGGCGAACGGGUGAGUAAUGCAUCGGAACGUAUCCUGGAGUGGGGGAUAACGUAGCGAAAGUUACGCUAAUACCGCAUAUUCUGUGAGCAGGAAAGCGGGGGACCUUCGGGCCUCGCGCUCUUGGAGCGGCCGAUGUCGGAUUAGCUAGUUGGUGAGGUAAAGGCUCACCAAGGCGACGAUCCGUAGCAGGUCUGAGAGGAUGAUCUGCCACACUGGAACUGAGACACGGUCCAGACUCCUACGGGAGCAGCAGUGGGGAAUUUUGGACAAUGGGGGCAACCCUGAUCCAGCCAUGCCGCGUGAGU
rnacentral:rRNA from 1 species